rnacentral:rRNA from 1 species
UACGAAGGGGGCUAGCGUUGCUCGGAAUCACUGGGCGUAAAGGGCGCGUAGGCUGCCAUUCAAGUCAGGGGUGAAAGCCUGUGGCUCAACCACAGAAUUGCCUUUGAUACUGUUUGGCUAGAGACCGGAAGAGGUAAGUGGAACUGCGAGUGUAGAGGUGAAAUUCGUAGAUAUUCGCAAGAACACCAGUGGCGAAGGCGGCUUACUGGUCCGGUUCUGACGCUGAGGCGCGAAAGCGUGGGGAGCAAACAGG